rnacentral:lncRNA from 1 species
AUAAUAAAACAGCAUGUUAUGUAUGUGGCGGUGCCCGACCCCACCUUGGCACCGUCCCCCUAACUCUCCCUUUAGAGAUAGAAGAUUGCUUCUUAAGCCUUUUUGCCUACCAAUAUGACUUUAAUAGGUCCCUCUGCAUGGCAUGGACGGCAGAAUACCCUCUCUUAGUUGAAAAUGUUAAGCCACCAGAUGGAGUCACAGUCUAUAGAGGUAAUUACACUUGUUAUGCCAUGUAUGACGGGAUUGGUAAAUUCAUGGGUAAUUUUUCUAAAGGUUAUUGCGCCACUUACAGAACUGUUCCUAUACGCCUGUUGCAACACCAUACCAGGUCAUUGGGGGAUAUUUACUGGUUAUGUGGGGAUCUACAGUUAAGAUCUAGGCUGGAAACUGAGUGGUGGGGUGAGUGUACCCUGGCCAAAGUUAUCAUGCCCAUUCAUAUUAUUUCUGAUAAUCAUCAUGACACAUACGACCCUCCACAUACAUCAGCCAGAGUAAGGCGCGAAACCCCAGUAAAAGGCAGUUUUGACCCCCACAUUUACAUAGAUGCCAUUGGGGUGCCUAGGGGGGUACCUAAUGAAUUUAAAGCUAGAGAUGAAGUAGCUGUAGGUUUUGAAUCACUUUUUACCAUAGUCACUGCCAACAAAAACCUUAAUUGGAUUAAUUGUAUCUAUUACAACCAACAGCGCUUCGUGAACUACACCAGGGAUGCCCUCCAGGGCUUGGCCGAGCAAUUACAGGCCACAUCCCAAAUGACCUUCCAGAACAGACUGGCCUUAGACAUGAUCUUAGCCGAAAAAGGGGGAGUCUGUAAAAUACUUCCCGACACUAUGACUUGUUGCACUUACAUUCCAGAAAACACAGGUCCUAAUGGUAAAGUCACUCUGGCCAUAGCUAAAUUAAAUAGACUCUCAGAAGAGUUAAAGAGAAACUCUGGAGUUACUGAUCCCUGGGAAAAAUGGUUUGGUUGGAUGACUGGUUGGCAGAGAGCUUUAGUCCAGAUUGGUAUUGCCUUACUAAUUUUUCUUUUUAUUCUCGCUCUUCUCAUUUGUUGUGUCCUCCCAUGCCUAAGGAAAUUCCUGCAGAAAACUGUAGACCAAGCAACACCAACCUUCACUCAUCUGACAAUCGAUGAUCAAGACCUCAUCUCACCCUGUAUUCCGCUACAAACUCUCCCUUAUACUGAUGAAGUGCAGAAAGUCUAGGAAGGGACAGUACAGGGACAGCGUCCGUCUUUAUGGGUAGACUGCCGUACGGAGAAGUAGUGGAUAAGCCACUAUGGGUUACCAGCGGAGUGAAGAGUGUUCCUGAACCGUACUGACGGAUGUGCUGCAGCCUGUUAGGGUCAAGAGAGGGAUAGACUUGCACUUUGCAUUAACACUAAGUCAGCGGUCAUGGGGUUUCUGUGUCUUUGGGCUAAUACUUCUUCUGAUACUAACAAAUAAAGUUUUGUCUUUUAGCAAAUAACAUUUUAGGGGGGACUGUUGUAGAAUUAUUAGGCCUCUAUAAAUUUGUAAGGCCCCUUUAAAUCCUCUUGCUAUACCUCUAAGAGGCCCCCAUAGUUUUACAAGGAAGCUUUGUCUAUAGAACAUAGAAUUUGCAUGUCAGCAAGAAAUAGCUUUGAUAAAAUGUGUAUUUACUAAAAUCCUUGAAACUUAACCUUGAGAAACUAACAAGUGCCAGCUACGCUCCAAAUGGAUAGCUGCCAAAAGGCCCCUCCCGUCGAGUGAGCUCCUCAUUUUAACAAGAUGGCGCUAAAACCUGUAG